AAAAGUGAGUGAAUGGACUGAAAAUAGUUGAAAAAAGUGAGAAAUCGAGCAAAUAGUUGCUCACUUUUUAACAUGUUGAAAUUAGUUGGAAAAAGUGAGAAAAGUGAGUGCGUGGAAUCCCUACAGUUGGAACUCAAAAAAAUUUGAACGGAUUUAC